AUGCACGCUGGCGGCGUGCCUAAUCCGUGCAAGUCGCGCGAACGGACGAGAAGCUUGCUUUUCUGAUGUUAGCGGCGGACGGGUGAGUAACACGUGGAUAACCUACCUAUAAGACUGGGAUAACUUCGGGAAACCGGAGCUAAUAUCGGAUAAUAUUUUGAACCGCAUGGUUCAAAAGUGAAAGACGGUCUUGCUGUCACUUAUAGAUGGAUCCGCGCUGCAUUAGCUAGUUGGUAAGGUAACGGCUUACCAAGGCAACGAUGCAUAGCCGACCUGAGAGGGUGAUCGGCCACACUGGAACUGAGACACGGUCCAGACUCCUACGGGAGGCAGCAGUAGGGAAUCUUCCGCAAUGGGCGAAAGCCUGACGGAGCAACGCCGCGUGAGUGAUGAAGGUCUUCGGAUCGUAAAACUCUGUUAUUAGGGAAGAACAUAUGUGUAAGUAACUGUGCACAUCUUGACGGUACCUAAUCAGAAAGCCACGGCUAACUACGUG
rnacentral:rRNA from 1 species